CCUACGGGGGGCAGCAGUGGGGAAUAUUGGACAAUGGGCGAAAGCCUGAUCCAGCCAUGCCGCGUGUGUGAAGAAGGCCUUCGGGUUGUAAAGCACUUUCAGUGGGGAAGAAAGCCUUGGGGCUAAUACCCUCGAGGAAGGACAUCACCCACAGAAGAAGCACCGGCUAACUCCGUGCCAGCAGCCGCGGUAAUACGGAGGGUGCGAGCGUUAAUCGGAAUUACUGGGCGUAAAGCGCGCGUAGGCGGUCUGAUAAGCCGGUUGUGAAAGCCCCGGGCUCAACCUGGGAACGGCAUCCGGAACGGUCAGGCUAGAGUGCAGAAGAGGAAGGUAGAAUUCCCGGUGUAGCGGUGAAAUGCGUAGAGAUCGGGAGGAAUACCAGUGGCGAAGGCGGCCUUCUGGACUGACACUGACGCUGAGGUGCGAAAGCGUGGGUAGCAAACAGGAUUAGAUACCCGAGUAGUC
rnacentral:rRNA from 1 species